rnacentral:lncRNA from 1 species
CGCACACUUUACGUUCGCUUUACCUAGAACAAGUAUGAAACUAGAAGUACUUUGUAGGAGGGAUAGGAUAGGUUAGCAAGAAAAUAAAGAACACAUAAAUAAAACUAGGGGCUGGUUAGAAACAAUUAUGUGAGUGUUGAAAAGUGGUGGUAGGAGUUGCGAAAUUGUCCCCAAGCAAUUGACUAUGUUACUAGACCGAUAGCAAGUUUUAUGU